GAUUUUGCUGUGCAUGCUGAUUGGGAAGCUAAACGCAGAAGUCUUAGUUUGGAAAGAGCCACAUGCGCUAGGAUCCUCUCACAUUUUUUGGUACCUGAAGUGCAGCAGCAUCAUAUGAUGAUCGAAAGCUCAGAAGAAAAAAAAAAAGGAAAAAGUGGAUCAAAAGCACUAGCAGUUGUGCAUAAUCUUUUCCACCAAAAGGUCACAAGCAUCAAGAUGAAUGUCAUCACUGCUGUUGAAAAUCAUGCAUCUAUGGCAUAUGUAACAGCACAAAGUUAGAUUGUCAAACUUUGUACCUUAAUAUCAGCAAUGUGAAAAAAAAGAGACAGUGUGUGGAAGGCAAACGAAGAACUAUGCAUGAAGGUGAGGAGGAAAUCUCAUCUUGCUUAGAUAUCUUCAUGAGGAAACAGGCAUUCACCUUGACUAACUUGAAAUAUACCUGUUUUCCUUGAAAAAACUUCCUAUACUAUAGGAAUCCAUUGCACCUUUGGAGAUGACAUUGCUUAAAGUGAAAUUCAGGGGCUGACAUGAGUUAUGGUUGACCCUGAAAGUGUUGACAGCCAUAUGCUCUGUGAGAGAUCCUCAAACGCAGACUGUUUGUGGCAGACUUGCACCUCACCACUUCUACCGCCUUAUAUCACUAAGAGAUUUUGACAGUGAUCAUCACACACUGCAGCACAGGGGCAGGGUUUGGCUGGUGAGGAAGGCAGGCAGAGAGGCAGGCAGGAUUCCUGAACUCCAUUUGUCAGCCCUCUGGCUAACACCAAGCAUCAGUAGGCAAAAUGGAUAUAAUCAUAUAGUACAAUAUUUGAAGCAGCCUUUUCAAAAAGUGAGAGUAUUAAGAUGUCCCUUAAAACAAAAUGAUCUUCAGACCAAAUGAAAGGCAUCUGAAAGUCCACUUAAACUUAGGAGGCACUUUCUGCUUACAUUGGAGGGAUAUUGUCAGUUCACAUUAACUGUAAAGUUUGCCAGACAUCUGACCAAAAAAGAAAAACAUUAUUCAGGCCCUUUUGUUUUCUAUGGAAUAUUUGGCUAGAAAGAUAAGCCAGAAUUCUAGCUUUGAUAUUCUUUGGUUAGAAUCUGUAAUAAAUAGAAAAAGAAGGUGAUUUCAAACUGUUCUAUUAGGAUCUUUAGAAUAGAUCUGUGCCAGAAGUCUCAAUUUUAGCUGUAUCACAUCUCUGAAGUAAGAAAAAUCAGAGUAAAUAAUUUUUAUGUAUUUUUUUCUCUCACUACACAAAAUACAGAGAGAUAAGUUAUGAUUUCAGACAUGAAAAGGUUGAAAAAUGGCACAUUUUGUGCUUUAUUCUGCAUUUAUGAGGUAGUCUAUACGCUUUGUAUCACACAUGGGAUUUUUAUAAUACCUUAAAUGUAUUUAUUGUAAACAGUGAAAGAGAAUUAAAAUAUGCCCUAAAAAACAAAGUCAUUAUUACUGCCUGAACACAGAACUGCUCAUAGUGUUUUGUCAUCCUCCAUUAUUCACAGGCAUAUAUAUACCAACAGAGCUUUAGCU